GCUAGGGUGUGCAAGUGAUCACAAGCUAAAUAAUAAUGCUAAAUAAUAAUCUUAUAAUAAUAAAUUAUCUACUCUCUAGGAAUAGAGUGGUUUCGGAGGUUUCUUGCAUGUUGCCAUCUGUCUGUCCAAACUCCAGAGGCAACAUCCCUGGGAAGGGCUACAGCCUUCAAUAAAACUACAGUAGGGGAGUUCUUCGACAAUCUGGCUGUAGUGAUGGACAGGUGACACUUUUUUAGUUGCAAAUGUUUUAAGUUAGCUUUACCCGUAAGAUUUGUUUUGAAUUCUGAUAAGGUUUUUUUUUUUGCCUCUCCUCUUUCACAGGCACACAUUCCCUCCACACACGAUUUACAAUGUAGAUUAAACCGGCGUCUUUACAGUUCAAAAGCCACGACAGGUUGUGACAGAGAAAGGAAAAAAGCAAGUUGGUUCUAUCACAUCAUCUGAGAGGGGAGAACUAGUGACUGUGGUGUGUGCAGUGAAUGCUGCUGGGAAUGCCAUACCUCCUAUGUUUGUCUUCCCCAGAGUUAGGUUUAAGGAUGACUUCCUGAUAGGAGCACCUCCAGGAGCCAAAGGUGCCUCCACCAGAACAGGAUGGAUGAAUGAAGACAAGUUCCGAUUAUGGGUCCAUGUUCUGAGACCCAGACUGUGCAUUAGCUGGUUCUGCUUGUACUUUGCUCUUGACACCCAGAUACUAGCUAAAGGUCCUGUGCUAUGAUUCUCACACUGUGAAUGUUAAUUAAAACAUUUUGAAGUAUA